CAUUCCACUUGAAUUGAAAGGAGAGACACUACCACAUGGUCUAUUGCUCUCUUCCCUAUAGUUUGAAUUCAACAUUGCUAAUUCUCUCAGUUGAUGCCUCUUAUAGAUAUCCUGUGACUCAUCCACAGGUUUAAGCAGUUCUUCAAUUAUUUCCUGCGCUUGUCUCAUUUGCAUAUCAAUAAUAUUGACAGGUAAUUCAGCCUCAAUUAUAAUGUGCAGAGGAUCACUCAGAUGCUCAUAGCCUGGUCUUCCCCUUAAUGA
rnacentral:misc_RNA from 1 species